UGGCAUUGAUGACAGAUUUGCGUUUCUCGAUUCUGAAUCGAUUUUCUAUCUCUUAAAUUUUUAAUUUCAGAACCAAAGAGCUCUCUGAUGACACCGUUUGUGCGUGUCUGAGCCUU